AUUGAACGCUGGCGGCAGGCCUAACACAUGCGAGUCGAGCGGAUGAAGGGAGCUUGCUCCUGGAUUCAGCGGCGGACGGGUGAGUAAUGCCUAGGAAUCUGCCUGGUAGUGGGGGAUAACGUCCGGAAACGGGCGCUAAUACCGCAUACGUCCUGAGGGAGAAAGUGGGGGAUCUUCGGACCUCACGCUAUCAGAUGAGCCUAGGUCGGAUUAGCUAGUUGGUGGGGUAAAGGCCUACCAAGGCGACGAUCCGUAACUGGUCUGAGAGGAUGAUCAGUCACACGGGAACUGAGACACGGUCCAGACUCCUACGGGAGGCAGCAGUGGGGAAUAUUGGACAAUGGGCGAAAGCCUGAUCCAGCCAUGCCGCGUGUGUGAAGAAGGUCUUCGGAUUGUAAAGCACUUUAAGUUGGGAGGAAGGGCAGUAAGUUAAUACCUUGCUGUUUUGACGUUACCAACAGAAUAAGCACCGGCUAACUUCGUG
rnacentral:rRNA from 1 species